AACCAUAGAAACCUGCGGAGUACCUGCGGAGGGAUCAUUACAGAGUUGCAAAACUCCCUAAACCAUUGUGAACGUUACCUAAACCGUUGCUUCGGCGGGCGGCCCGGGUCCUUCCCGGCGCCCCUCGGCCCUCGCGGGCGCCCGCCGGAGGCAAACCAAACUAUUGCAUUGUAUGGCCUCUCUGAGUCUUCUGUACUGAAUAAGUCAAAACUUUUAACAACGGAUCUCAGAUCGGAAGAG
rnacentral:misc_RNA from 1 species